rnacentral:rRNA from 1 species
AGAAUGAACGUUGGCGGCGUGGAUUAGGCAUGCAAGUCGAGCGAGAACCCAACAAUGGGGGACAGCGGCGAAAGGGACAGUAAUGUGUAGAUCACCUGCCCUCAGGCCCGGGAUAGCUGCGGGAAACUGCAGGUAAUACCGGAUAAUAUCUCCGGAUCAAAGGUGUGAUUCCGCCUGGGGAUGAGUCUACAUCCUAUUAGCUAGUUGGUAGGGUAAUGGCCUACCAAGGCAUUGAUGGGUAGCGGGUGUGAGAGCACGACCCGCGUCAUUGGGACUGAGACACUGCCCAGACACCUACGGGUGGCUGCAGUCGAGAAUCUUCGGCAAUGGGCGCAAGCCUGACCGAGCGACGCCGCGUGCGGAUGAAGGCCUUCGGGUGUAAACCGCUGUCAGAGGGAUGAAAUGCAGGUGGUUCUCCCAUUUGUUUGACAUAGCCUCAGAGGAAGGACGGCUAAGUCGUGCCAGCAGCCGCGUAAU